GCAAGGAUGAAACUUAAAGGAAUUGGCGGGGGAGCACCGCAACGGGAGGAGCGUGCGGUUUAAUUGGAUUCAACACCGGAAAACUCACCAGCGGCGACUGUUACAUGAAAGUCAGGCCGAUGACCUUACUAGAUUUUCAGAGAGGUGGUGCAUGGCCGUCGUCAGUUCGUACCGUAAGGCGUUCUCUUAAGUGAGAUAACGAACGAGACCCUCACCAAUAGUUGCUACUCCAUCCUCCGGGGUGGAGGCACACUAUUGGGACCGCUGGCGCUAAGUCAGAGGAAGGAGAGGUCAACGGUAGGUCAGUAUGCCCCGAAUCUGCUGGGCUACACGCGCGCUACAAAGGGCGGGACAAUGGGCUCCGACACCGAAAGGUGAAGGUAAUCCCGAAACCCGUCCGUAGUUCGGAUUGAGGGUUGUAACUCACCCUCAUGAAGCUGGAUUCCGUAGUAAUCGCGAAUCAACAACUCGCGGUGAAUAUGCCCCUGCUCCUUGCACACACCGCCCGUCAAACCACCUGAGUUGGGUUUCAGUGAGGCUGCCUCUUUCUGGGGUUGUCGAACUGAGAUUUAGCAAGGAGGGUUAAGUCGUAACAAGGUAUCU
rnacentral:rRNA from 1 species